GCGUGGGAAAUCGCGGGCGGCUCCCCUAUAGGAAGGAGAAGGAAGCAUGGCCAGCGGAGGAGAGCGCUCAUAGGUGGCGAGGCACCUACCUGAUGUGUCACCCACAGCCGCUGUCCGCCUCAGCACCGCCGCCGAGCCUCCACUAGAAACAAGUACAGCAUCGCUUCAUCCCGUCUCACCGAGCUCUUCCCGGCACCGACCCAGGAUGGAGUCCCCGGUUCUGCUGGCGUGUCUGCUGCUCCUGACAGGUCUACAUGUUAAAGCUCAAACAACAACGAGUUUUACAUCUGCACAGGACACAUAUUUAUCAUCAAAAGCAUCUGUAUCUGAAGAAAGUACCACAUCGAAAAACACUGAGAGUGUGAUGACUUCUAUCAAAGUGUCUACUACUGUCAACACAAGCAAUUCAUUAGAAUCAAUUCAUACAACGGCAACCCCUACACCUGACUCAGUUCAGACAAAGGCAACCCCUACACCUGACUCAGUUCAGACAAAGGCAACCCCUACACCUGACUCAGUUCAGACAAAGGCAACCCCUACACCUGACUCAGUUCAGACAAAGGCAACCCCUACACCUGACUCAGUUCGGACAGCAACAACCCCUACACCUGACUCAGCUCAAACAGCAGCAUCCAAUUCAACUGGCUCAGCUCCGACAACAGCAAUCUCUACAAAUACCAAUGCGGUAUCAGUAAAUCUGAACACAACUAUAUCAUCCAGUACAACAAUAUCAUCAAAUACAACCAGUGGACCAUCCACAUCAAAUUCAUCCACAUAUACAAAUGUCCCAACAAAGCCCAGCACAAACACAACAAGUAAAGGCCAGACAGAAAAAGUAAGCACUGUUCAAAUGGGAAGUACAAUGUCUACUAUUACUGCGGAGGGUGUUUCUUCUUCUUCCAAGGCAGCCACUCAAGGGACUUCAGCAUCUUCUGGGACAAUUCUUUCUCCAAACAUUAGCCCAAUAGUUAGUACUGAAUUAAUACCUUCAAUCAAAACUGAUGAUCCAUCCACAACUCAUGCAGCAACUGAACGUGGCUCUGAGCUUCCAAGGGCAUUAAGUCCAGGAAGUGUUGCUGCCAUUACUAUAAUAGUAAUUAUCCUUGUCCUGUUAAUAUUUGGAGGAGCAGCAUACUGGAAGAUUAGGCGUUCAUCAUAUGGAAGACUACUUGAAGACCAAGAUUACGGGUCUCUAGGAAACUACAACAAUCCACUGUAUGAUGACUCAUAAGGAAAAGAUUCCAUGCUGAAGAAGAACAAAACGUUGUCUUUGCUCUUAUUGUUGUGAAGAGUCAGAGCAAAAAUUCUAAGUUACCUUUAAAUCCUCAGGCUCGCUAAAAUGAUCUAUCACAUUGUAUCUGCUGUGUAAUGAACAAAGUCCUGAACUGAAAACCAAAGUAUCCAUUUCUGCUCCAUCCUGUGUAUUCAUCAUUCAUCAUACAGCUCAGAUCCCGGAUUAUAGAAAUCACAUAGAGUAUGAUUCCUCCUUCUUUUUCAUAAGCCAAUAUCUUAUAGCCUUAUUUAAGAAAAAAAAGAAAGAAAUCUAUAUUUUUUAAUGAAAUAGCGGUUUUGCACAUGUGAAAUGAUCCUGGCUUGUAAUGAGUUCUUUUAUGGAAUAUUGACAUUUGUAAAGCACUUUGUAAGAAAUCCAAAGAAGUGCACCAUGUACACCUGAUGUACAUCUGUUAUAUAGACUGUACUUACGGUUAGUACAGUACUUACGGUUUGUAUUCGUCACUUAUUAUGCAGAAAGGUUGCAUCAUAGCACAUUAACAUGAAGUGUGGUGCACAUAGAGAUUGAUAUACACAGGGGUAUAACGUACAUAUGUUGCACUAGGUUCAGCAGUUUAGGUCAGAGGCGUCUUGCCCGACCUCUUCAAUGAUGUUAGUAUUUGAUUUGUUUUUCAAAGUUUCUGUAUUUUCUAUUCUGCAAGCCUAAUCUUCUUUCCUAUUUAUAUACAGGGUGCAGUACACCAUUUAUCUUCUAUGUCCCUCUGAAUGAUUCUAUAAUACAACCAUCUAAAUAGAAGUAGUCACAGGAAGUUCUAUCUGCUAUAUCAGUGGUCCACAGUUUGGAGACCACUGUGCAAUAUUCUGCCUUCCCAUGCUGCGCAGGUUUGUUUUAGGUACAUUCUACUCAAACAAGGUCCUUGAACAUGAAAGGAAGCUUGUGGAAGACAUUGUGUAACCAAUGACAAUAGACUUAAAGGGGUACUCCGCCCCUGGCAUCUU